rnacentral:rRNA from 1 species
AUUGAACGCUGGCGGCAUGCUUUACACAUGCAAAUCGAACGGUAACAGGCCUUCGGGUGCUGACGAGUGGCGAACGGGUGAGUAAUGCAUCGGAACGUACCCAGAGGUGGGGGAUAACGCAGCGAAAGCUGUGCUAAUACCGCAUGUGAUCUGAGGAUGAAAGCGGGGGACCGAGCAGCAAUGUUUGGCCUCGCGCCUUUGGAGCGGCCGAUGUCGGAUUAGCUAGUUGGUGGGGUAAAGGCCUACCAAGGCGACGAUCCGUAGCUGGUCUGAGAGGACGACCAGCCACACUGGGACUGAGACACGGCCCAGACUCCUACGGGAGGCAGCAGUGGGGAAUUUUGGACAAUGGGCGCAAGCCUGAUCCAGCAAUGCCGCGUGCGGGAAGAAGGCCUUCGGGUUGUAAACCGCUUUUGGCAGGAACGAAACGGUGUCCGCUAAUACCGGGCGCUAAUGACGGUACCUGCAGAAUAAGCACCGGCUAACUACGUG